GAGAACUGUCGAAACAGAAAUGAGAGAGAUUGGCAUGACCUGGGGCAAAAUUGAAAAGACUGCUAAAGACAGAGAGGAAUGGAAGAAACUAGUCCUUGCCCUAUGUGCCCAUGGGCGCAACAAGGACUAGGUAGCAUUGGCCGCUUAUGCCUUAUGUGAAAAGUUCACCCAACAGACCUUUUCUCCAAACAGUGUCAAAGGCUUGUUUGAAGUCUUUAAAACUGAUGCCAUUUCUUUCUGAUGACCCUAUCCCCAUCUUUAUCAAAAGCUGUUCGCGGGAAUGUCCUAUCCCACAAUGCCUGCAUGGAAUAGUUUGGUUUGGUGCAGACGAUCUCUGCCGGAAGUUUGUAUUAGAACUGUACAAUUUUGGAACUCUUCAGAAAAAGAAGUUAAGAAAAUUAUCUG